ACACUAUCUACCACUAACAAUUUGGGGGUGAAAUAAUCUAUGUUUUUCCCGAGCAAACAUGACAGAAACCCACCAACCAACCAGGAGGCAAGAGCCAAUGGCCUUCACAUGCGAGCCCGCCCUGCUGAUCCUCACUGUGUCGCCCCGGCUGAGUACGCCCUGCAAUAUUCAAAUCGCGGAGCAUGGGACGUGUAGGCUGGCGGGGGAAGCAAGCACAGAUUCUGAAGGGAGCUUUCGAAUGGCGUUCCACGAACCUGGUCCUGAGGGAGGCAGAAGAGAGGAACAAAGUUCAACGCCUUCGAAAGAUGCCGGGGACAACGGUCUGCGCGAGAGCAUCUGAUGGCGUACGGUCUCCCAUUUGUUAUUCAGUGGGGAGCUCAGUAGGUGAAACAGAAAAACCACAUGGCGAAUCCAGCGUGAUGAUCAAGAGCAUUUUGUGAUGGACCAAAGGUGUGCAAGUCUAAAACUCUAAAAUCUAGAGUCUAAAUGCAG
rnacentral:lncRNA from 1 species